rnacentral:rRNA from 1 species
UACGUAGGGACCGAGCGUUGUCCGGAUUCAUUGGGCGUAAAGAGCUCGUAGGCGGCCACUCAAGUCGAAUGUGAAACCUCGAGGCUUAACCUCGAGCCUGCAUUCGAUACUGGGCGGCUAGAGUCUGGUAGGGGGAGUCGUGGAAUUCCUGGUGUAGCGGGUGGAAUGCGCAGAUAUCAGGAGGAACACCGGUGGCGAAGGCGGGUCUCUGGGCCGAUACUGACGCUGAGGAGCGAAAGCGUGGGGAGCGAACAGG